UACGAAGGGGGCUAGCGUUGCUCGGAAUCACUGGGCAUAAAGCGCGCGUAGGCGGCCAAGUCAGUCGGGUGUGAAAGCCCUCGGCUUAACCGAGGAACUGCGCCCGAUACUGCUUGGCUUGAGGUCCGGAGGGGAGAGUGGAAUUCCCGGUGGAGCGGUGAAAUGCGUAGAUAUCUGGAGGAACACCGGUGGCGAAGGCGACGUCCUGGACCGGCAUUGACGCUGAGGCGCGAAAGCCAGGGGAGCAAACGGG
rnacentral:rRNA from 1 species